rnacentral:rRNA from 1 species
GGCGAACGGGUGAGUAACGCGUUGGUGACCUGCCCCAAAGUGUGGGAUAACAGUCCGAAAGGAUUGCUAAUACCGCAUGUGGUCAUUGGGUUUAGAAACUAAUGACUAAAGCAGCAAUGCGCUUUGGGAGGGACCUGCGUCCCAUCAGCUAGUUGGUGAGGUAACGGCUCACCAAGGCGACGACGGGUAGGGGACCUGAGAGGGUGACCCCCCACAAUGGAACUGAAACACGGUCCAUACACCUACGGGUGGCAGCAGUAGGGAAUAUUGCUCAAUGGGCGAAAGCCUGAAGCAGCAACGCCGCGUGCGCGAUGAAGGUCUUCGGAUCGUAAAGCGCUUUUCUGCGAGAUGAGAAAGGACAGUAUCGUAGGAAUAAGUCUCGGCUAACUACGAGCCAGCAGCCGCGGUAACACGUAGGAGGCGAGCGUUAUCCGGAUUCACUGGGCGUAAAGCGCGUGCAGGCGGUUUGGUAAGUUGGGCGUGAAAGCUCCCGGCUCAACUGGGAGAGGUCGUUCAAUACUACCAGACUAGAGAGUAGAAGAGGAAGAUGGAAUUCCAGGUGUAGUGGUGAAAUGCGUAGAUAUCGGGAGGAACACCAGUGGCGAAGGCGAUCUUCUGGUCUAUUUCUGACGCUCAGACGCGACAGCUAGGGUAGUAAACGGGAUUAGAGACCCCGGUAAUCCUAGCCGUAAACGAUGUGAACUUGGCGUCGGUGGCUUAAACACCAUCGGUGCCGAAGCAAACGCGAUAAGUUCACCGCCUGGGGACUACGGCCGCAAGGUUAAAACUCAAAGGAAUUGACGGGGGCCCGCACAAGCAGCGGAGCGUGUGGUUUAAUUCGAUGCUACACGAAGAACCUUACCCAGGCUUGACAUACAGGUGGUAGAGAUCUGAAAGGUGACCGACCCGCAAGGGAGCCUGUACAGGUGUUGCAUGGCUGUCGUCAGCUCGUGUCGUGAGAUGUUCGGUUAAGUCCGCUAACGAGCGCAACCCUCGCCGCGUGUUAUA